UCCUUCUCCUAUUCUUUCUCCCGAAUUUCCCUUCGCCCGAUCCCUUCUUCCCCGAUUCCCUUCUUAUCUUCCUCACACGCUGUCUCUCUCCCGAUUGCUCAUCGUCGAGGACCAUCAAGCUUCGACGACAAUGAGUCUUCCGAUCGUCGAUGCUAGCCGCUCUAUCUCGCCUCCCUCACCGUGCGCCAACCACCUUAGUCUUCCGAACGCCGAUGCUUGCCGCUCUUUCUCGUCUCCCUCACCGUGCGCCGACCACCUUCCCUUUUCCCCUAGCAUCGAUUCGGCUGAUCCCUCGCGCUCUCCCUUCUCUCAGCAUCGUCUCUGCCUGACAUCGCCGGCGCCUGACAUCGCACCACUCACCGCCCAUUGCCGAUGCAGGCCUAGCAGUGGUACUCAUCCCGAUCCCCUCCCUCUCCCUCUCCCUCUCGCGACGCUGUGCCCUAGCAGUGAUCUUGGAGUAAUUGUGUUUUGGUUCCAACCACCACAGCUCCGUUGGGGAUCACUUUCUUCGUCGGAUCUGUGAUCAACACCGGCGAUUGAAGAGGAAUAGAUCUAAGGGGAGAGUCUUACUUCUAUUGUUGUGGCGAUUGGAUAUCCUCGUCAAGUGGUGAAUCGGAUUUGGGAUGUUGAUUUGAAACGAGCAUCUCGACGUGAGAUUAUUUAGCACGAUCGACAUAUCAAGGCGGGUACUUCUUGCUUUAUCUCUUUAGUACAUUGAUCUUAGUGCAUGAGCUAUAUUUUUGGAUAGUUCCUGUAUUUAUUUUGACUCCACUCGUAUUUUUCCUGUGCUUGAUACUUAUCCACUCAAUCUUUGAGAAACUCGUUUCUAUAUCUAUACAGUCUCUCGUUGCUAUCUAUGAUAUUUAGCAAAUACCGGAUACCAAAUACCAGUUACCAGAUACUAGAUAGUAGAUAUUGGAUAUAUGGAUACUGGAUACCAUGUUUACUUGCUUUGAAUGUUGUAUGUUUACAUACCUUAUUAAGGAUGUUGGCUUCAUGUAGCAUACCUGUUUUCUGUUUAUAUAUAUAUGAUGACUGUUGCAUUUUAUGCAUCAUGUCAUUGCAUGCAUGCCGGCGACCAUGUCUCCCUUAUAGUUGAGAGGGUCGUUG